UACGAAGGGGGCUAGCGUUGCUCGGAAUUACUGGGCGUAAAGCGCACGUAGGCGGCUCUUUAAGUCGGGGGUAAAAUCCUGGAGCUCAACUCCAGAACUGCCUUCGAUACUGUAGAGCUUGAGUUCGGGAGAGGUGAGUGGAACUGCGAGUGUAGAGGUGAAAUUCGUAGAUAUUCGCAAGAACACCAGUGGCGAAGGCGGCUCACUGGCCCGAUACUGACGCUGAGGUGCGAAAGCGUGGGGAGCAAACAGG
rnacentral:rRNA from 1 species